GAUGAACGCUGGCGGCGUGCCUAAUACAUGCAAGUCGAGCGAACGGACGAGAAGCUUGCUUCUUUGACGUUAGCGGCGGACGGGUGAGUAACACGUGGGUAACCUACCUAUAAGACUGGGAUAACUUCGGGAAACCGGGGCUAAUGCCGGAUAAUAUUUUGAACCGCAUGGUUCAAAAGUGAAAGACGGUCUUGCUGUCACUUAUAGAUGGAUCCGCGCUGCAUUAGCUAGUUGGUAAGGUAACGGCUUACCAAGGCAACGAUGCAUAGCCGACCUGAGAGGGUGAUCGGCCACACUGGAACUGAGACACGGUCCAGACUCCUACGGGAGGCAGCAGUAGGGAAUCUUCCGCAAUGGGCGAAAGCCUGACGGAGCAACGCCGCGUGAGUGAUGAAGGUCUUCGGAUCGUAAAACUCUGUUAUUAGGGAAGAACAUAUGUGUAAGUAACUGUGCACAUCUUGACGGUACCUAAUCAGAAAGCCACGGCUAACUACGUG
rnacentral:rRNA from 1 species